AAAGUCGUAACAAGGUUUCCGUAGGUGAACCUGCGGAAGGAUCAUUCGUAAUAAAGUGUUUAUGGCACUUUAAAUCCAUAUCCACCUUGUGUGCAAUGUCAAGCCUGACCACAUCCAGCUCUUCUGAUGGGAGUGAGAAGGGUUUCAUUAUCCACGUUCUUUUUUUUUUUAGUCUACAUUCUUUGAGUAAACGAACUCAAAUACAACUUUCAACAACGGAUCUCUUGGCUCUC
rnacentral:misc_RNA from 1 species